CCAUUCUCUUAUUCCACAAGAUUGAACACAUGCAUAUAUGAUACCUCCAUCCCACCCACCUAACGGCGGCCAUUUCUAAUUCUCAGCUCCAGCCGCCAUCUUGUCACCCUGCUGCUCCUUGCCGCGGAGGCCGCCAGCUGCUGCUGCAUUAUACUUGUCCUGACUACCUUCCUUGCCGAAUAUGAGAAAGAAGGGGGGGACCAGUAUACCAUCGCUCUCCUCCUGGUCGCGGAGGGCGCCAGCUGCUGCGGCAUUAUUAUACUUGUGGCCGAUAUCCUGACAACCUUCCUUGCCGAAUAUGACAAAGAAGGGGGGGAUCAACAUACCAUCGCUCUCCUCCUGGUCGCGGAGGGCAGCUGCUCCAUUAUACUUGUCCUGACUACCUUCCUUGCCGAAUAUAAAUAAGGGGAAGACCAACAUACCAUCGCUCUCCUCCUGGUUGCGGAGGCCGCCAUCCUUUCCAGAAAUAGGAGACAAGGUACUAGUAGCAGCAGCAACUGCUCCUUUCGGGUAGGGACGUUUGCAUGAGACAGCUGCUGCUUUCACUGUUGUUGUUGUCUUGGGAGUAAUGAAAAGGUCUGCUGGUGCCUUGUUGUUCCUGGAGGAGGAUGGUGGGAAGGCAUUAUUAUUACGGCCGGCGGCGGUAGCAACUAGGCUAGUGGUCAGAGCCAGAGAGGACACAACAGCCAUGGUAACUUAUAACUAGGGAUGGACGAUUGAUGUGAUAUGAUAGCUGGUGGUGGUGGCUGAUACGUAGUGAAAUAUAGCAAGCAAUUUAUACCGUCAGUUGCUAUAAUUGUUUUAUAAAUUUUACGACGGGUGGCUAAACAU
rnacentral:lncRNA from 1 species